GCGGUAUACCCUCAUACUUUGCUGAACCAAAACAACAGAAGAUGCCUCAGUUCUGCUCGGCUUAUUCGUGUUUAAAUCUACGAACUGUUGAUGUCAGGGACCGGGGGAUAACUUUUCACAAGUUGAAAACUACAGAACUACAAUAACCUCCACAAAAGCCCAAAGUAGUGAGUAUGUGGCCUCUCAAGAUGACCCAGAAACUUGUAGUUCAGACCUGCAACCUCAGUCUAAUGAUGAUCAUUGCUAUGCUUUGCCAGCUUCUCUUACCGCUGUCACUGCAAAACAUAAGAGAGCGUUGGCAAGAGUGGAAUAUCUGGAGCGGGACAAGAAAAACACCAUGGCCAGAGAGAAGAGGGCAAAGACCACAGCAAAGUCACUUUUGGGGGAAUUGAGUGAAAAAAAUCUCAUUACUGAAGAACUCAAAGAACGGCUUGAAUUCUACUCUGCAUUUGUGCAU